AGAUACACGUGUAGAAACAUACACACACGUAAUGUACACAUAUGUAUAGUGCACAUAUGCACGCACUUGUACACACAUUUAGGCAUACACAUGCAUAUGUAGAUGCAUGUGUACAUGCAUGUAUACAUCUACACAUGCACAGACACACAUACAUGUACACAUGCAUACUGUGUACAUAAUACAUGUAUACAGAUACAUGUGCGCAUGCACGUGUACACACAUGCAUGCAUACACACAUGCAUUUGUAGAUAUAUGUGUAGGUGUGUACACACAACAUACACAUAUGCAUCCACACAUACACAUAUACAUAUGAGGUGGCACGUUCAGCUUUCAAGAGGACCAUCAGGGACUUUGUCACCUUGACAACUUUAGCCUUGCCUUCUAGUCACCUUGCCGGAACACUUGUGCCCGUGUUUUUCUAGCACUGUCAUAAGAAUACUUUUACCUAUCAAGGCAACUGGGGGUUAGGAGAGCUUUUUGCACAGGAGGCUACUUGGCUUUGUUUGAAAACUGAUGAUACAUGAGGAUUGGGGUGGUGAAUCACUCACAUGUUUCUUCAUAUGAAAAAUGAGGACUGUGGGAUUCUCUGGCUGGAUCUCAGCACCUAGAAAUGGAUCUGGGCAAUAGGAACUGCUCAGUAUUAGCUACCGCUUUGGUUGCCUUCUCCUUGCGGAAAGCUGGCCUCUCACACUGAAUUUGUAUCAUAGGCACUCAUGAGGGUCUUGACUGUAUCAAUAUCUGAUGAGAGAUUUUAGUGCAGUUCUGUUAUCGUGGCUGAUUUGCUCAUUUGGUAGCUAGCAUCCAGCUUCUUGUGAACAUUAAAAUAAAAUAAAAUAGAUUAUGGAGGAAUAGAAUACAGAUACGUAGUAAGGUAUUAUUUUCCAGACAAAAUGGAUUUGGAUAAAAGAAUCUAAUUAAGAACUUGUGCAUGAUUCUUUUAAAAUUCUUUUGAAUCCAUUUUUUUUUUUUUGGCCUGUUUUCAAGUCUCCGAUUUUUGUCACCCUUCUCACACCAGGUCAGAGAGAUAGCUAAUGGUCAGAAGGAAUCUUCCAGCAAUGACCAUAGCGCUUUCUCCUGCCUGCAGAUGCCUCUUUUUAUUCAGCCUUUAUGGGAAGUAGCAGCACCAUCCAGUUCUCAGAGAGCAAGCUCUGGAGUAACUGAGCUAACCCCAGUUACCCCAGUGGAUUUACAGAUUGAGGUUACAACCCAGCAGGGUUCUCUUCCUGGAAAGAAUAGCCUUCCCUCUAAGGUUUCAAAUAGACCCUGGGUGAGGAAGGAGCCCUAAACAGCUUGAAAAAUUGAAUGCUCUUUGGGCAAAGCAGGAAGCCGUCCUAUGGAAGAGCAUCAUUUGAGCAUAAAUCAGGUUAUCAGGACAAACAGAGUGUUCAGGAGGUCAAGAUGGUUAAGCAGAGACCCUGACCAGAAUGUCCGUGGCGGAGAGAAACAAUCUUGUUGGGAAAAGGAUGACAAUAAUUGGGGACUUAGAAUAAAGGCUAAAAAUGAUUCAAAGAGAAUGCAAAAAGAAUCAGGCACAAAUCGUUUACUAUACUCUGUUAUGCAAAUCUCACCUUACUAUGUGUUUGUAUUCUAUUCCUCCACAAUCUUUAUUUUAUUUUAAUGUUCAAAGAGACUUGUAGGUGCCAAUUAAAUGAACAAAACAGCCAGAGACAACAGAACUGCCCUAAAAAAAGUCCCGCAUCAGCUCUUGAGAGCAGGUUCCUUAAAGGUGAACAAUAUUCCACAUACAAGGACUUUUUCAGCACCAUGCAUUAGAAAUGGAAGUGAAUGUUUAUUAUUUUUUGUAUAAGUUGGUUGAUAUGGCUUUUCAGCUUCCCUCAGUAUCAUUAUCCAAAUUUUGUAGAUGACACUAAAGCUCAGAGGAGUUAAACCAUUUUCCUUAAAUCACAUAGCUUUAAAUAGGAAAACCAGAUAUGAAAAGCAGAUUUUUUUUCUAAAUUAAAAAACCAAAAACAAAAACACGUGAGCUCUUGCUUUACCCUAGCACAUAGUCUUGCCAUCUGUUUUCUCCACACCAGGUGAUUCCUGUAACAUUCAUUCACAUAACAAAUACAAAUAAAUGAGUGGAUUCAUUCAUCAGAUAUUAAUUCAGAAUCCCUUUUGUGCCUUCCAGAAAUCUGGACCAUCUCACAACCCCCAGAGAGUCUCAGCUACAAGGAACAAGUGAUAAUGCCAUCCCACUUUUAUAAACACACACACACACACAUGCAAUACACACACAAUCAUUUAAUCAUUUUUAAUUAUUUAAUUAUUUUUUAAAAAUCAGUGACACUUUAGCUGGGCAGGUCUAGAUAGGUCUUCUUUGCUGGGACGUGUCUUUUUCUGUCCUGGAAUACCCUAAACUUCACAUUUUGGCAGCGUGAGUUUUCCCUUUGUGACUUUCUCCUUCUUCCCUUUUUUCCUCCUUCUUUGCAGAGAAUGAGUAGCCACUGCACCUUGCCCUGCGCCAUCAAUGAGAAGAUCUGCUCUUAGUAGAGCCCUGCUUUCCCGCUGAAGGCCCUGAAAUCACCUGUGUUCCAGGCCACCCACUAAGGAUAAACAAAGCUUCCCUGAUAUGGGGAAUUAGCUCAAGUGGUAGAGCGCUUGCUUAGCAUGCAAGAGGUAGUGGGAUCAAUGCCCACAUUCUCCAAGCUUUAUUAUUUAGGUACCCAAACCCGAGUCAGUGUCUGAGAGCAAGACACUGCUCUCGGUGUCUUUGGUUCAAGACAUAGGAGCAGCAACAAUACAGGACUGGUGACAGCUUCCUGCUGGCAUUCAGUAUAGUGUAGAUCUACUGUGUAAUUAAUUUUCUGUUUCUUCGAGGAGCUGUGAAACCAAAGGACAUAUAAAACUGCUCUUUUCUCCCUGUUUCUGCCUGCAGCUUGGUCCUAAAUGUGAGACAAUUGUGAAAAGUGGAGGACAGAGCCACCUGGUUAAAUACAGCCCCAGCUUUCUGGUGAGAGGACUGAAACCAAGAUGUGUCAAGUAACUAGAAUGUGCCUGGACAGAUACUGUAGAAAGCAAAACCAUAAAGUUGUUCAUGAGCUUGUGGACGCACCUGCCAGCUGUGAAUAAGUGGCUCUAAUCCCGAACAACUUACCUAAAAAGAGCCUGAGAGCUGAACUGUGCAAUGGCCCACUUUCCAGUCCUCACUGACCACUGGGUUGCACACACUUUGGAGAUCUCUGAACAGCAGUGUCAAGGCUUUCAAAUAGAGUUAUCUUUGAAACGACAACACAUGAAAGUCUGGUUGGUACUUGGAGCUUAAAUACAAGGCAAUUGUGUGCCUGCAAAAACAAAAAUAGCAAUAUUAUCCUUAAGAUUUCAACAAGACACAGUGUCUCAUCACAUAAUCCAAAGAAGUCCAGGUUACAAGCCCCACAAUAUUCAGCAUUAUGAAAAAACAGGGAGAUCUUAAUUCACAUGGCAAAGAGAAUCCUCGAAUAACAAUAUUGAGAGGACACAGAUGUCAAAAUCAUCUGACACAUACAUUAAAGCAGAUAUUAUAACAAUGCUCCUAGAAUCGGGGAUAACAUUCGUGAAGUGAAUGGAAAGUUGGAAAGUCUCACCAAAUAUUUCGAAUACAUAAACACCAAUUUAAACUUAAGAAUUAAAAAAAUGUAUUAACCAAAACUCUUAGGGGAAAUAAAAAGCUUAAUUGGAGGAUCUCCAUAAUCGAAUGCAGAAGACUAAGGAAAAAGUCAAUGAACUUGAAAACAGAACACGAAUACCUACAUAAUCUGAACUAUAGAGAGAAAGGAGGAUUUUAUUGUCUCUGAACAGAGGCUCAGGCACAAAUAAAAAAUAACAAAUCCAACAUUCACAUUAUUGUAAUCUGGAAAGAAGAGGACAAAGUGGUCUUUGUGGGAUAAAACUUUGAACAAUUAAUAGCUGAAAAUGGUUCAAAUUUGUCAAAAGAUAUAAACCAGAUUUUUAAAGUUCAGUAAAUGUCAAUCAGGAUAAACCCAAAGAAACCCAUAGCAAGGCAUAUCAUAAUCAAACUGCUGAAAACUAAGAAAAUACAAAACAAUUUUGAAAGCAGCCAAAGGGAAAUGAAAGAGAAACUACCAAAUGAAUGAUUGUAGAUUUCGCAUCAGGAACCAUAGGGGCCAGAAAAAAUGUCAUAACAUUCGGUAAGUAACAAAAGAAAAAGACAUAUCGACCCAGAAUGCUAUGUGGAGCAAAAGUAUCUUCCAGACAUAAAGGCAAAUAAAUGCAUUCUCAGUGGAAGGUAAGUAAAUACAUUCUCAUUCUUAGGAAGACUGCUGGAAAAGAAUUAGCAAAGAUUUGAGAUAAGAAAAAUGAUACCAGAAGGAAACUUAGAACAUCAUCAGUGAAGGAACAAAAGCAGAAAUAGAACAUGUCUGGGUAGACAUAACAGACUAUUAUUCUUCCCUUGAGUUCCUUAAGGAGACUACGGAAAAGAAGAGUGACUAAGAUCUCUGAAGAAGGGAAAAGCUAGAUGACUGGGCCACAAGAGGAAAAAAAGCAGCAAGACAGAGAAUGAGUAGCCACUGCACCUUGCCCUGGGCCAUCAGUGAGAAGAUCUGCUCUUAGUAGAGCCCUGCUUUCCCGCUGAAGGCCCUGAAAUCCCCUGUGUUCCAGGCCACCCACUAAGGAUCAAUAAAGCUCCCCUGAUGUGGGGGAAUUAGCUCAAGUGGUAGAGCGCUUGCUUAGCAUGCAAGAGGUAGUGGGAUCGAUGCCCACAUUCUCCAAACUUUAUUAUUUAGACCCUGGGUCUCCAAACACUCAGGUCUCCAAACCCAAGUCAGAGAACAGGAUGCUGCUUUGGUUCAAGAUGUAGGAGCAGCAACAAUACAGGGCUGGUGACGGCUCCCUCCUGGCAUUCAGUAUAGUGUAGAUCUACCGUGUAAUUAAUUUUCUGCUUCUUUGAGGAGCUGUGAAACCAAGGGACAUAAACAAUUGCUCUUUUCUCCCUGUUUCUGCCUGUAGCUUGAAUGUGAGGCAACUGUGAAAAGUGCAGGGCAGAGCCACCUGGGUAAAUACAGCCCUGGCUUUCUGGUGAGAGGACUGAAACCAGGAUGUGUCAAGUAACUAGAAUGUGCCUGGACAGAUACUGUAGAAAGCAAACCCAUAAAGUUGUUCAUGAGCUUGUGGACGCACCUGCCAGCUGUGAAUAAGUGGGUCUAAUCCCAAACAACUUACCUAAAAAGAGCCUGAGGACUGAACUAAACAAUGGUCCACUUUCCAGUCCUCACUGACCACUGGUUGCACACACUCCAGAGAUCUCUCAUCCGCAGUGUCAAGGCUUUCAAAUAGAGUUAUCUGUGAAACAACAACACAUGGAAGUCUGGUUGGUACUUGGAGCUUAAAUACAAGGCAAUUGUGUGCCUGCAAAAACAAAAAGAGCAAUAUUAUCCUUAAGAUUUCAACAAGACACAGUGUCUCAUCACAUAAUCCAAAGAAGUCCAGGUUACAAGCCCCAAAAUAUUCAGCAUUAUGAAAAACCAGGGAGAUCUUAAUUCACAUGGCAAAGAGAAUCCUUGCAUAACAAUAUUGAGAGGACACAUAUGUCAAAAUCAUCUGACACAUACAUUAAAGCAGUUAUUAUAACAAUGCUCCUAGAAUUACGGGAUAGCAUUCAUGAAGUGAAUGGAAAGUUGGAAAGUCUCACCAAAUAUUUGGAAUAUGUAAACACCAAUUUAAACUUAAGAAUUAAAAAAAGUAUUAACCAAAACUAUUAGGGGAAAUAAAAAGCUUAAUUGGAUGAUCUCAAUAGCAGUAUGCAGAAGACUAAGGAAAAAGUCAAUGAACUUGAAAACGGAACAAGAAUACCUACAGAAUCUGACCUAUAGAAAGAAAGGAGGAUUUUAUUGUCCCUGAACAGAGGCUCAGGGACAAAUAAAAAAUAACAAAUCUAACAUUCACAUUAUUGUAAUCUGGAAACAUUCACAUUAUUGUAAGAGGACAAAGAGGUCUUUGUGGGAUAAAACUGUGAAGAAUUAAUGGCUGAAAAUGUAUCAAAUUUCUCAAAAGAUAUAAACCAGAUUUUUAAAGUUCAGUAAAUGUCAAGCAGGAUAAACCAAAAGAAACCCAUUGCAAGACAUAUCAUAAUCAAACUGCGGAAAAUUAAGAAAACACAAAACAAUUUUGAAAGCAGCCAAAGGGAAAUGAAAGAUAAAAUACCAAAUGAAUGAUUGUAGAUUUCUCAUCGGGAACCCAGGAGCCAGAAAAAAAUGUCAUAACAUUCAGUAAAUACCAAAGGAAAAAUACAUUAUCAACCCAGAAUGGUAUGUGGAGCAAAAGUAUCUUCCAGACAUAAAGGCAAAUAAAUGCAUUCUCAUUGGAAGGUAAAUAAAUACAUUCUCAGUCCUAGCAAAACUGCUGGAAAAGAAUUAGCAAAGGUUUGAGAUAAGAAAAGUGAUACCAGAAGGAAACUUAGAACAUCAUCAAUGAAGGAACAAAAGCAGAAAUAGAAAAUGUCUGGGUAGACAUAACAGACUAUUAUUCUUCUCUUGAGUUCCUUAAGGUAUGUUUGAUGGUUGAAAGCAAAAAUUGUAACUUUAUCUGAUGCAGUUGUCAUUGUAUCUAGAUGUACUACAUACAUAAGAUAAAAGGGUAAAUGUAAUGGGACUAACUCUUGAUGAAGUUUCUAUAUUCAACUUGAAUGGUAAAAUAUUGAUUCUUAGUAUACUGUGAAAAGUUAUAUAUGUAUAUGGUAAUCCCUAGACCACUUAACAACCAGAUUGAAAUAAACCAAAACAAGAUAGACAGAGGAACAUAGAAGAAUUAAAACAAAGGGAAAAAAGGUUAAUAAAUUAUUAAAUAGUAGAUCUAUCUAAAAACUUAUCUAUAAUAACAUUAUAUGUAAAUUAUCUAAAUGCAUUAAGUAAAAACUAGAGAUCAUCAGAAUGUGUUAAAAAUAAAUAUGCUGACUAAAGAAAGCCACCUGCAAUACACUUAUAAAUAAGAAUAAAAGUUAUAGAGCAGAUUGAAAGAAAAGAGUGGGAAAAGAUACCUCAUGCAAGCAUUAAUCAAAGACAGCUGUGGUGUAUAUAUAUAAAAUCAGACAAAGUAGAUUUGAAAGCAGAGAAACUUUUCAGGAAUAAUGAGGCCUCCUAAAUAAUUAUGAUUGUCAAUUUUUCAGGAGAAUAUUGUCCCAAAUGUAUAUGAGGACACAGAGCUUCAAAACUCAUAAACAAAAUUGGAUACGCCAAGUAAAAAUAGAAAAAUCCAGUUAUAGUUGCAGUCAUUAACACUCCUCUCUGAGUAAUUGGAAGAUUUAGUGGAACACAAAUCAACAGACAUACUGGAGAAUUGAACCAUGCCAUCCAGUAAUGGACCUAUCAAUUUCAUAAUGCAAAAUAAAAAUUCAGGUAGAAAGCAAAGACAAAAAUUAAAAGAAAAGCAAGAUCAUGUUAUAAUGAGAAAAUUAAGAGUAGUCCAGUGUAUAGAAGGGUGCUAUUAUUGAAAGAGUUUGAAAUAGUGACUUAGUUAUUUUGAAACAUUUUUGAAGACGUUAUUUAGCUGGAAAUGACAGAAAGACUGAAAAUGGUGAAUGUGGAGGUGGAUCUUCCCUUGUCCAUAUUUAUCUUGUCUUCGUUUGAGGUCUGGGGUGUCUAUACUUCCUCUGAAUUACCUGAUCUUACUACAGUGUCUGGCACAGAGCAUCUCCCCAGUGAAUAUGUACUAAAUGAGUAGAAAGUAAUUGAUAGAUUCAAAAGAGUUGUGCAAGAAUAAUGUUCAUUAUUUGACUAAUCACUGAAUGUGGUGUUUCAAGGAAGACAAUGAAUCAAAGUUGACUUGAAAGGUAAGCCCAGGGCCAGACGUGGUGGCUCAUUUCUGUAAUCCCAGCACUUUGGGAGGCCGAGAUCAGUGGAUCCCUUGACACCAGGAGUUUGAGACCAGCCUAGGCAACACAGUGAAAACCUGUCUCUACAACAAAUACAAAAAUUAGCCGGGUGUGGUGGUAUGCAUCUGUAGUUCCAGCUACUCAGGAGGCUGAGGUGGGAGGAUCGCUUGAACUCAGGAGGUGGAGGUUGCAGUGAACAGAGAACGCACCGGUACCUGGACAACAAAGUGAGACCCUGUCAUAAAAUAAAAUAGUUAAACCCAGGCCAGGAGGGGUGGCUCAUGCCUGUAAUCCCAGCACUUUGGAAGGCCAAGGUAGGCUGAUCACGUGACGUCAGGAGGUUGAGACCAGCCUGGCCAACAUGGUGAAACCCCGUCUCUACUAAAAAUACAAAAAUUAACCAAGCGUGGUGGCAGGCACCUGUAGUCCCAGCUACUCUGGAGGCUGAGACAGGAGAAUUACUAGAACCCGGGAGGCAGAGGUUGCAGUGAGCCAAGAUCUUACCAUUGCACUGCAGCCUGGGCGACAGAGUGACACUCUGUCGAAAAAAAAAAAAAAAAAAAAGUUAAGCCCAAAAAGUAAGUAAGGAAGAGGUUUGGAAUUAGAUAUUUGUUGUAUGAAUGAGUGAGCUAAAGUGCAAAAGAACGGGCAGAAUAACUGAGCUGGUACAGAGGGAAAAAAUCACAUUUAAAAUCUAAAAAUAUCUGCUUCUUAGUUCAGGCUUUCCCACUUAGCAGCUUUGGCACCUUAGGAACACUUAACUUAUCUGAGCCUCUAUUACUUCUAAAAAGUGCAUAAAGUGCAGACUAAGACAGUUUUUUUGGCAAAAUUCAGUCAGACUACAUCAAGUAAACUCCCUAAGUCUCCUAGUAUAAUUCAUGGCACAAAAAAUUGGGGAAAAAACAGGGAGGAUAUGAUUAUAAGUUCAGUUUAUGUUUUUUGUUGAGUGAAUGUCUCCAGUCAUAGAGAUGCAAGUGUAGAUACACAGUAAGAGUAGUAUGAAUGGGAGACACCUUGGAAGGCUAUUUCUUCCUUCCUUCAUUCAGUUGGUCACUCAGUGAACUAUCAUGAAUUGAGCACCGCCUCUGUUUCUUAUCAACAAAGGAGACUGCGGAAAAGAAGAGUGACUAAGAUCUCUGAAGAAGGGAAAAGCUAGAUGACUGGGCCACAAGAGGAAAAAAAGCAGCAAGACAGUUACAAUUGUUUCUGGUCCCACUUUUAUAAACACACACACACACACACACACACACACACACACACACAAAAUCAUUUAAUCAUUUUUAAGUAUUUAAUCAUUUUUUAAAAAUCUGUGAUGCUUUACCUGGGCAUGUCUAGGCAGGUCCUCCUUUGCUAGGACGUGCCCUUUUCUGUCCCGGAAUACUCUAAACUUGGCAUUUUGGCAGCGUGAAGUUUUCCCGUUGUGACUUUCUCCUUGUUCCCUUUUCUCCUCCUUCUUUGCAGACAAUGAGUAGCCACUGCUGUUUGCCCUGGCCCAUCAAUGAGAAGAUCUGCUCUUAGAGCCCUGCUUUCCUGCUGAAGGCCCUGAAAUCACCUGUGUUCCAGGCCACCUGCUAACAAUAAAUAAUGCUGCCCUGAUGUGGGGAAUUAGCUCAAGUGGUAGAGCGCUUGCUUAGCACGCAAGAGGUAGUGGGAUCGAUGCCCACAUUCUCCAAGCUUUAUUAUUUAGACAUCGUGUCUCCAAACACUCAGGUCUCCAAACCCAAGUUAGUGUCUGAGAACAGGAUGCUGCUUUGGUUCAAGACGUAGGAGCAGCAAUAAUAGAGGGCUGGUGAUGGCUCCCUCUUGGCAUUCAGUAUAGUGUAGAUCUACCAUGUAAUUAAUUCUCUGUUUCUUUGAGGAGCUGUGAAACCAAGGGACAUAUACAACUGCUCUUUUCUCCCUGUUUCUACCUGCAGCUUUGUCCUAAAUGUGAGACAAUUAUGAAAAGUGCAGCGCAGAGCCACUUGGGUAAAUACAGCCCCGGCUUUCUGCUCAGGGGACAGAGUUUGAGGCACUGCAGAGGAACCGGCCAAAGUAUGAGACCCAUAUAUUGAGAGUAACAGAGUGUAAAGUUCAAAAAAAUCAAAAUAUUUAAAGAUUUAUCAUGGGUCUUGAUGACAUGAUGGAAUCUCUCUACUCUCUGGACUUAUUAUGUGUGGUAAUAAAUUUACUUUUUAAAAGCCA
rnacentral:tRNA from 1 species